AUUCAUAGGAAAGGUCUCAGUAACUUAUGAGUUUUCCAUCUGUGAAGCUGAACAGGAUCAUGCCUGCUUAGUACUUUGAUGUGAUACCCCUUGGGAAUACCAGAUGCUGUAGAUU
rnacentral:rRNA from 1 species